GAACUUGGAUGAUGAAGACGAUGAAUGAAACGCGCCAAGUUUUUAUUUAAAAUAUUCAGUUCUCUGUUCGGAUUCUGUUCUGCGCGGUGUUGCUCUAAACUAAGUAACGGAAUUCAGUUCAACCGAACUCACCCUAUUUGGACCGCCCAGAUCAGUAUCUGCUAGAGGAGCUAUUGCUUCUCGUUGGUUCCUUUCUCUGGUGGAUCCUUCGUCGUCUCUGAUGGAGUCGUUCUAACUAUUGCACGUGCUUGAGACGGAGACUUCAUUUAGAUUCGAUACAACCUAGCUAGCGAUCGAUCCUAACGACCGACACAUAUAUGGCUUGCUCAGAUCUUUUUUGUUCAGUUUGUGGCUAAAGCUAUACUACUCCUCUGACCCAAAUUAAUUGUUAUAGAUUCUUUUCAGAAUGAGGCGAACCUACACACUUAAACACGUAUAGAUUCUUUAAAAAAAAAACAAGUCUAGAUAGAUGUGUAUCUAGAAAAAGCCGUGACAAUUAAUAUAAAUCGAACUCUUUUACAAUUAUUUUUUGAAAAAAAAAAUACUUUUCCGUCUUUUAGUUUGUCGAACUAUGAAGUAGAACAUGAUAGUUACACC
rnacentral:lncRNA from 1 species